rnacentral:rRNA from 1 species
CCUACGGGGGGCUGCAGUGAGGAAUAUUGGUCAAUGGGCGAAAGCCUGACGCAGCGACGCCGCGUGAGGGAUGAAGGUCUUCGGAUCGUAAACCUCUGUCAGCAGGGAAGAACGGUCACUGUGCUAAUCAGCAGUGAAUUGACGGUACCUGCAAAGGAAGCACCGGCUAACUCCGUGCCAGCAGCCGCGGUAAUACGGAGGGUGCGAGCGUUAAUCGGAAUUACUGGGCGUAAAGCGCUCGUAGGCGGUAUGUCAAGUCAAGGGUGAAAUCCCCGAGCUCAACGUGGGAACUGCCUUUGAAACUGGCAAACUGGAGUGUGUGAGAGGAUAGUGGAAUUCCAGGUGUAGGAGUGAAAUCCGUAGAUAUCUGGAGGAACAUCAGUGGCGAAGGCGGGUUCCUGGACAUUAACUGACGCUGAGGCACGAAGGCCAGUGGAGCGAAAGGGAUUAGAUACCCUUGUAGUC